CGGGGCUACCCAAAGUGCUCCAUAUAGGAGCUGUGGUAGGUGCGUAAUGUUCCCUACUAGAAAGGAGAGGGCAAGGCUGGUGCCAGCCGCCGCGGUAAAACCAGCUCUUCAAGUGGUCGGGAUAAUUAUUGGGCUUAAAGUGUCCGUAGCUGGUAAGGUAAGUUCCUGGUAAAAUUGGGCAGCUUAACUGUCCUUAUGCUAGGAAUACUGCUUUACUAGAGGGCGGGAGAGGUCUGAGGUACUACAGGGGUAGGAGUGAAAUCUUAUAAUCCUUGUAGGACCACCAGUGGCGAAGGCGUCAGACUGGAACGCGCCUGACGGUGAGGGACGAAAGCCAGGGGAGCGAACCGGAUUAGAUACCCGGGUAGUCCUGGCCGUAAACGAUGCACACUAGAUGAUGGUGCGGCCAUGAGCCGUAUCAGUGUCGUAGGGAAACCGUUAAGUGUGCCGCCUGGGAAGUACGGUCGCAAGGCUUAAACUUAAAGGAAUUGGCGGGGGAGCACCACAAGGGGUGAAGCCUGCGGUUCAAUUGGACUCAACGCCGGGCAACUUACCAGGGGAGACAGCAGAAUGAAGGUCAGGUUGACGACCUUACCUAACAAGCUGAGAGGAGGUGCAUGGCCGUCGCCAGUUCGUGCUGUGAGGUAUCCUGUUAAGUCAGGCAACGAACGAGACCCGUGCCUUUAUUUGCCAUCAAGAAGUCACGACUUCGUUGGGAACGAUAAAGGGACUGCCGUCGAUAAGACGGAGGAAGGAGCGGGCAAAGGCAGGUCAGUAUGCCCCGAAACCCCUGGGCUACACGCGGGCUGCAAUGGUGCGAACAAUGGGCUGUGACUCCGACAGGAGAAACCAAUCCCGAAAUCGCAUCUCAGUUGGGAUUGUCAACUGUAACCCGUUGACAUGAACGUGGAAUC
rnacentral:rRNA from 1 species